rnacentral:rRNA from 1 species
CCUACGGGAGGCAGCAGUGAGGAAUAUUGGUCAAUGGACGCAAGUCUGAACCCGCCAUGCCGCGUGCAGGAUGACGGCUCUAUUAGUUGUAAAAUGCUUUUGUACGAGGGUAAACCCCGAUACGUGUAUCGGGUUGAAAGUAUCGUACGAAUAAGGAUCGGCUAACUCCGUGCCAGCAGCCGCGGUAAUACGGAGGAUCCGAGCGUUAUCCGGAUUUCUUGGGUUUAACGGGUGCGUAGGCGGUUUGAUAAGUUAGAUGUGAAAGGUCGGGGCUCAACCCCGAAACUGCCUCUAAUACUGUUGGACUAGAGAAUAGUUGCGGUAGGCGGAAUGUAUGGUGUAGCGGUGAAAUGCUGAGAGAUCAUACAGAACACCGAGUGCGAAGGCAGCUUACCAAACUAUAUCGGACGUUGAGGCACGAAAGCGUGGGUAGCAAACAGGAUUAGAUACCCUUGUAGUC